ACGUUUAUCACAUUCUGCUGCUGCUGAGGGGCACAAUCAAAACAAUCUCUCAGUAAAUUAAACCUGAACCUAGCAGAACGAAGCCAGCAGUCCAGUCAGCGAAAACCAACACAGAUACAUUUCUCCCACAAGUCUCUGCAGAACACCAAAGAUGAUGUUUAGCUGGACGUCCAGGCUGCGCUUUCCCAUUCAAUGAAAGUGAAUGGGGAUCUAUACUCAAUAUUUCACUGUAAAUAUAAAGAAGAAAAAAAAAACAAUCAUGAGGCUCUGGAAAGACAAGAGGGUGAAGAAUGCCAGGAUUUAUUUAAUUUUAUAAAUGUAUAAAUCUUUUUUUAUUGUAUGUUAUAUUUCUGGAUGAACUAUUCCUAAACCUUUUUGACUUGUAGACACCCACCUUCCAAGUUGAUAUCUGAAUAUCUAAAAUAAAUUAAAUUCCAUAU